CCUACGGGCGGCAGCAGUGAGGAAUAUUGGUCAAUGGACGAGAGCCUGAACCAGCCAAGUAGCGUGAAGGAUGACUGCCCUAUGGGCUGUAAACUUCUUUUAUAUGGGAAUAAAAUGUUCCAAGUGUGGGCUUUUGUAUGUAUCAUAUGAAUAAAGAUCGUCUAACUCCGUGCCAGCAGCCGCGGUAAUGCGGGGGAUCCGGGCGUUAUCCGGUUUUAUUGGGUUUAAAGGGAGCGUAGGUGGAUUGUUAAGUCAGUUGUGAAAGUGUGCGGCUCAAACGUAAAAAUGCAGUUGAAACUGGCAGUCUAGAGUACAGUAGAGGUGGGCGGAAUUCGUGGUGUAGCGGUGAAAUGCUUAGAUAUCACGAAGAACACCGAUGGCGAAGGCAGCUGACUGGACUGCAACUGACACUGAGGCUCGAAAGUGUGGGUAUCAAACAGGAUUAGAUACCCUUGUAGUC
rnacentral:rRNA from 1 species